rnacentral:rRNA from 1 species
UGUGGGUGCUAUACUGCAGUCGAACGAAGAGCUUAGAGUAGCAAUACUUUGAUAACUCUUAGUGGCGAACGGGUGAGUAACGCGUUGGUGACCUGCCCCAAAGAAAGGGAUAACAGUUCGAAAGGGCUGCUAAUACCUUAUGCGAUCAUUUAGUUUAGACGCUUUAUGAUCAAAGGAGCUUGCUCCGCUUUGGGAGGGGCCUGCGUACCAUCAGCUAGUUGGUAGGGUAAUGGCCUACCAAGGCUAUGACGGUUAGGGGACCUGAGAGGGUGGCCCCCCACAAUGGAACUGAAACACGGUCCAUACACCUACGGGUGGCAGCAGUAGGGAAUAUUGGUAAUCUGCGAAAGCGGGAACCAGCAACGCCGCGUGUGCGAAGAAGGCCUUCGGGUUGUAAAGCACUUUUCGGGAGGAAGAGGAAGGACUGUACUCCCGGAAUAAGUCUCGGCUAACUACGUGCCAGCAGCCGCGGUAAUACGUAGGAGGCUAACGUUAUCCGGAUUUACUGGGCGUAAAGCGCGUGUAGGCGGUCUGGUAAGUUGGACGUGAAAGCUCCCGGCUCAACUGGGAGAGGUCGUUCAAUACUGUCGGACUUGAGGAUGGUAGAGGGAGGUGGAAUUCCGGGUGUAGUGGUGAAAUGCGCAGAUAUCCGGAGGAACACCAGUGGCGAAAGCGGCCUCCUGGACCACUCCUGACGCUCAGACGCGGAAGCUAGGGUAGCAAACGGGAUUAGAGACCCCGGUAGUCCUAGCUGUAAACGAUGUGAACUUGGCGUCGGUGGGAUUAAAUCCAUCGGUGUCGAAGCUAACGCGAUAAGU